rnacentral:rRNA from 1 species
GACGAACGCUGGCGGCGUGCUUAACACAUGCAAGUCGAACGGUAAGGCCCUUCGGGGUACGACGAGUGGCGAACGGGUGAGUAACACGUGGGUGAUCUGCCCUGCACUUCGGGAUAAGCCUGGGAAACUGGGUCUAAUACCGGAUAGGACCAUGGACUUCACGGUUUGUGGUGGAAAGCUUUUGCGGUGUGGGAUGGGCCCGCGGCCUAUCAGCUUGUUGGUGGGGUAAUGGCCUACCAAGGCGACGACGGGUAGCCGGCCUGAGAGGGUGUCCGGCCACACUGGGACUGAGAUACGGCCCAGACUCCUACGGGAGGCAGCAGUGGGGAAUAUUGCACAAUGGGCGCAAGCCUGAUGCAGCGACGCCGCGUGAGGGAUGACGGCCUUCGGUUGUAACCGUACUUUCUAAUAGGACGAAG